rnacentral:ncRNA from 2 species
AGGUGGGGUAGAGGCGCGGUAUUUAUUAGUCUUUAGAAGAGUUUGAGAAGCAAUGAUGCUAUGGAGAAGGAAAUAUCGCCGAAGUAAAUAAUAAUCUCAUUAUUAUUUGCUGGGUCUGUAGUUAAGAGCUGCAGGACUGUCUCAAUAAGCCACCCAGUUUAUUGAGUUGUGCUAUCUCAUUU